CUGCCAUUGCAGAAGGAUCUCUUUUUGGAGAUGGUUCCCUUUGGAGUUUUUCUGUGAGGCUACAACAUGGGACAACAGGAAUGGUACUGUUUGCAGACAGAACAGAGUGAAUGACCAAGGGCGACACAGAAAGCACUUGCUCCUGAAUCGAAAUUACAAUAGCCAGAUGACACAAAAUACGAAGCUGUCACAAUCUCACACUGUUGUUUUGAACUAGUGAAAAAAAUAUUGAGCUAAGUUUCCUUUGGCAGACUGUAUGCUGAAUCAGGCAUACAGUUUUCAUGAAACAUAAUGCUGGCAUAAACACGUGUCGUGUCAUAUGUCAUAAACAUAUGUCAGUUUACUCACAGGUAAUCUUUUAAGGAUAAACCCCUAUUCCCAGCUGCACAUGGAAAUCUAAGGAGAGAACGCAGUGAAGAAAAAAAAAGCAUUUUUUAUCUCAAUCCGCAUCCAUACUUGGCAGUCUUUUCUAUCUGAGUUAUCAGCAGUUAUAAUGCCCAUAAGAUACUCAUGCCAACAAAAGACCAGACACAGAGGGUCAGGCCAGAAGUCCAGCACUCCCCAGUGUCCUGUCAUCAAUGAAUACCCUCAGUUAUGACUCCCCCAG
ensembl:lncRNA